rnacentral:rRNA from 1 species
UACAGAGGUCCCAAGCGUUGUUCGGAAUUACUGGGCGUAAAGGGCUCGUAGGUGGCCAACUAAGUCAGACGUGAAAUCCCUCGGCUUAACCGGGGAACUGCGUCUGAUACUGGAUGGCUCGAGUUCGGGAGAGGGAUGCGGAAUUCCAGGUGUAGCGGUGAAAUGCGUAGAUAUCUGGAGGAACACCGGUGGCGAAGGCGGCAUCCUGGACCGACACUGACACUGAGGAGCGAAAGCCAGGGGAGCAAACGGG